rnacentral:rRNA from 1 species
CGGCGGCCGUAACUAUAACGGUCCUAAGGUAGCGAAAUUCCUUGUCGGGUAAGUUCCGACCUGCACGAAUGGCGUAAUGAUGGCCAGGCUGUCUCCACCCGAGACUCAGUGAAAUUGAACUCGCUGUGAAGAUGCAGUGUACCCGCGGCAAGACGGAAAGACCCCGUGAACCUUUACUAUAGCUUGACACUGAACAUUGAGCCUUGAUGUGUAGGAUAGGUGGGAGGCUUUGAAGCGUGGACGCCAGUCUGCGUGGAGCCGACCUUGAAAUACCACCCUUUAAUGUUUGAUGUUCUAACGUGGACCCGUAAUCCGGGUUGCGGACAGUGUCUGGUGGGUAGUUUGACUGGGGCGGUCUCCUCCUAAAGAGUAACGGAGGAGCACGAAGGUUGGCUAAUCCUGGUCGGACAUCAGGAGGUUAGUGCAAUGGCAUAAGCCAGCUUGACUGCGAGCGUGACGGCGCGAGCAGGUGCGAAAGCAGGUCAUAGUGAUCCGGUGGUUCUGAAUGGAAGGGCCAUCGCUCAACGGAUAAAAGGUACUCCGGGGAUAACAGGCUGAUACCGCCCAAGAGUUCAUAUCGACGGCGGUGUUUGGCACCUCGAUGUCGGCUCAUCACAUCCUGGGGCUGAAGUAGGUCCCAAGGGUAUGGCUGUUCGCCAUUUAAAGUGGUACGCGAGCUGGGUUUAGAACGUCGUGAGACAGUUCGGUCCCUAUCUGCCGUGGGCGCUGGAGAACUGAGGGGGGCUGCUCCUAGUACGAGAGGACCGGAGUGGACGCAUCACUGGUGUUCGGGUUGUCAUGCCAAUGGCACUGCCCGGUAGCUAAAUGCGGAAGAGAUAAGUGCUGAAAGCAUCUAAGCACGAAACUUGCCCCGAGAUGAGUUCUCCCUGAGACUUAGAGUCUCCUGAAGGAACGUUGAAGACGACGACGUUGAUAGGCCGGGUGUGUAAGCGCAGCGAUGCGUUGAGCUAACCGGUACUAAUGAACCGUGAGGCUUAACCUUACAACGCCGAAG